rnacentral:rRNA from 1 species
UACGAAGGGGGCUAGCGUUGCUCGGAAUUACUGGGCGUAAAGGGCGCGUAGGCGGAUGUUUAAGUCAGAGGUUAAAUCCCAGGGCUCAACCUUGGAACUGCCUUUGAUACUGGGCAUCUUGAGUACGGGAGAGGUGUGUGGAACUCCGAGUGUAGAGGUGAAAUUCGUAGAUAUUCGGAAGAACACCAGUGGCGAAGGCGACACACUGGCCCGUUACUGACGCUGGGGCGCGAAAGCGUGGGGAGCAAACAGG